rnacentral:rRNA from 1 species
AUGAAAGAGAAGGAAUUUCUUAGUGAGGCUAGGAUGAAUUUGGAGUUGAAGAAUGCAGAGUUCACAAAGUUUGAGGAGAAGCUGACCCAAGAGAAGCUAGAGUUGAAGUUUCAGGUUGCUGAUCUGCUGAAGCUCAAGGAAAACCAUAAUGAAGAGAAGUACAUGCAAGAGCUUAAGAUUUGUGAGCUCAUGAUGGCAGAGGAGAAGCUUAAGGAGAAGAUCAAGGGGAUCCAGGCCAUCUUACAGAACUGA